ensembl:lncRNA
CUUUUUUUAGAUAACUAGUCCCUCUAGUUUACAUAACCAGUCCUCUAGUUUAGAUAACUAGUCCCUUAGUUUAGAUAGCCAGUCCUCUAGUCUAGACAUCUAGUCUCCUUAUUUAGAUAUCUAGUCCCUUAGUUUAGAUAUCCAGUCCUCUAGUUUAGAUAUCUAGUCCUCUAGGUUAGAUUACUAGUCCUCUACUCUAGAUGUCUAGUCUCUUAGUUUAGAUAUCGAAUCCCUUAAUUUAGAUAUAUAGUCCUCUAGUUUAAAUAUCUAGUCCUCUAGUUUAGAUAAGCAGUCCUCUAGUUUAGGUAUCUUGUUCCUUAGUUUAGAUAUCUAGUCCUCUAAUUUAGAUAAGUAGUCGUCUAGUUUAUAUCUGGUCCCUUAGUUUAGAUAUCUAGUCCUCUAUUUUAGAUAUCUGGUGCUCUAGUUUAGAUAAAUAGUCCUCUAGUUUAGAUAUCUUGUUCCUUAGUUUAGAUAUCUAGUCCUCUAUUUUAGAUAUCUGGUCCUCUAGUUUUGAUAUCUAGUCCUCUAUUUUAGAUAUCUGGUCCUUUAAUUUAGAUAUCUAGUCCUCUAGUUUAGAUAUCUUGUUCCUUAGUUUAGAUAACUAGCCCUCUAGUCUAGAUGUUUAGUUUUUAGAAAACUAGUUUAUUAGUUUAGGUAUGUGAUCCCUUAGGUUAGACAUACAGUAUCUCACAAAAGUGAGUACACCCCUCACAUUUUUGUAAAUAUUUGAUUAUAUCUUUAAUGUGACAACACUGAAGAAAUGACACUUUGCUACAAUGUAAAGUAGUGAGCUUACAGUAACAGUACAGCUUGUGUAACAGUGUAAAUUUGCUGUCCCCUCAAAAUAACUCAACACACAGCCAUUAAUGUCUAAACCUCUGGCAACAAAAGUGAGUACACCCCUAAGUGAAAAUGUCCAAAUUGGGCCCAAAGUGUCAAUAUUUUGUGUGGCCACCAUUAUUUUCCAGCACUGCCUUAACCCUCUUGGGCAUGGAGUUCACCAGAGCUUCACAGGUUGCCACUGGAGUCCUCUUCCACACCUCCAUGACAACAUCACGGAGGUGGUGGAUGUUAUUUACGUCAAAUAUUUAUUUAUUAAUAUAAUUCUUUAUUUAUGUCAAAUAUUUACAAAAAUGUGAGGGGUGUACUCACUUUUGAGAGAUCCUGUAUAUUCACUUACUUUGGAUAGUUAGGACACUAGUUUAGCUAUCUAAUUGUCUAGCCAUCUAGUCCAGUUUUACAUCUACUUUACAUUAGCUAAUGUUAACUAUCAGUUAGUUUGUUAACUAUCAACUGUGUUAACUAUCAAUUGUCCUAUCAAUUGAGCACGUUUGCCUCACACCUCCAGGGUCGGGGGUUCGAUUCCCACUGUAGCCCUGUGUGUGUGGAGUUUGCAUGUUCUCCUCAUUCUGCAGGGGUUUCCUCCAGGUACUCCGGUUUCCUCCCCCAGUCCAAAGACAUGCAUGGUAGGCUGAUUGGCGUGUCUAAAGUGUCCAUAGUGUAUGAAUGGGUGUGUGAGUGGGUGUGUGAUUGUGCCCUGCGAUGGACUGGCACCCUGUCCAGGGUGUACCCUGCCUUGUGCCCGAUGCUCCCUGGGAUAGGCUCCAGGUUCCCCGUGACCCUGAAGAAGGAGUAAGCGGUAUAGAAAAUGGAUGGAUGGAUAGUUACCUAGUGAAGAUGUCUAGUUCCCUAGCUCAUGUAUUGUAUUCUAGUUUAAAGUCAGGAAACAGUCCUCAUAUCUAGUCUCCCAAAGAUAUCUGUAAAACUAUAUCUAUAAACUUCCAGUAGUUUAGAUGUUAGAUAUUUUGACCCCUGCUUUUGAUGGCUAGUUUUUAAAAUAAUCCUCUAGUUCAAAUGUUUGGACUCCUCACUUAGUCAUCUAGUAACUUAGUUUAGGUUUCCAGGCUAGAAGUGUAUUAAAGUAGUGGUCUAAGACAAAGGAUACAAUGUCCAAACUAUGUGUUCAAAAUAAGGGAGUAGAUAUUUAAACCAGAGUUCUACACAUCUUAACUCUAGUGAUAUCUUUAAACUAGACAUUUCAAUUCAAAAUAGAAGUUCAGAGGUCUAAAGUAGGGGCCUAGGUGAGCAAAGUAGGACGCGUGGCACCUGAACUAGAGUUCCAGACGCACCAGAUGUGCAAAUUAGGGAACGAGAGGCGUGUAUUUCGCAGUGCUAGUAGGUUUGCGGUCUAAUUGAGAUGUCUAGUACACUAGUUUAGCAAGAAUCAGGAUGGUGUCCAGAUCAGUAGUUUGGUGUUGAGUCAAAAACAUGUGGCUGCCAUUUUGUUUCUUGGUGUCGUGUGAUGUUGUUCACUUUGUGUGUGUGUGUGUGUGUGUGUGUGUGUGUGUGUGUGUGAGAGAGAGAGAGAGAGAGAGAGAGAGAGAGAUGCACGAACGUUGGUGAGGUGCAGAAAGGUGAAAGUCAGUGGACUCAUCCUUCCUUUCCUCUUUCCUUCGCUCUGGUGUUAACUUGUAUCCUAACGAGAUUAGACCGUAUGUGUUCAGCUCGAGCGUCUCCUCCCGCCGCUUUUUUUUUGAUCUGUCGUGCGUGAUGAGGAGCUCCAGCCGUCCGAGCGCCGGUAUGAAAUCAGCCUGAUGUCGUUCAUUUUUCUCUUCCACUGUGCAUCCCUCACUCCGUUUCCGACCCUACAUUCCAGGAAGCGUUUAGGGAGCUCGGUGAAAAAGCUC